rnacentral:snoRNA from 1 species
AUGAUGAAACGGCCGUGACACGAAACGUGAAGAAGUGUUUCUAUAACUGA